rnacentral:rRNA from 1 species
AUUGAACGCUGGCGGCAGGCCUAACACAUGCAAGUCGAACGGUAACAGGAAGAAGCUUGCUUCUUUGCUGACGAGUGGCGGACGGGUGAGUAAUGUCUGGGAAACUGCCUGAUGGAGGGGGAUAACUACUGGAAACGGUAGCUAAUACCGCAUAACGUCGCAAGACCAAAGAGGGGGACCUUCGGGCCUCCUGCCAUCGGAUGUGCCCAGAUGGGAUUAGCUAGUAGGUGGGGUAACGGCUCACCUAGGCGACGAUCCCUAGCUGGUCUGCGAGGAUGACCAGCCACACUGGAACUGAGACACGGUCCAGACUCCUACGGGAGGCAGCAGUGGGGAAUAUUGCACAAUGGGCGCAAGCCUGAUGCAGCCAUGCCGCGUGUAUGAAGAAGGCCUUCGGGUUGUAAAGUACUUUCGGCGGGGAGGAAGGGAGUAAAGUUAAUACCUUUGCUCAUUGACGUUACCCGCAGAAGAAGCACCGGCUAACUCCGUGCCAGCCGCCGCGGUAACAC